GACGAACGCUGGCGGCGUGCCUAAUACAUGCAAGUAGAACGCUGAAGGAGGAGCUUGCUCUUCUGGAUGAGUUGCGAACGGGUGAGUAACGCGUAGGUAACCUGCCUGGUAGUGGGGGAUAACUAUUGGAAACGAUAGCUAAUACCGCAUAAUAACAGUUGUUGCAUGACAACUGUUUGAAAGGUGCAAUUGCAUCACUACCAGAUGGACCUGCGUUGUAUUAGCUAGUUGGUGGGGUAACGGCUCACCAAGGCGACGAUACAUAGCCGACCUGAGAGGGUGAUCGGCCACACUGGGACUGAGACACGGCCCAGACUCCUACGGGAGGCAGCAGUAGGGAAUCUUCGGCAAUGGACGAAAGUCUGACCGAGCAACGCCGCGUGAGUGAAGAAGGUUUUCGGAUCGUAAAGCUCUGUUGUAAGAGAAGAACGAGUGUGAGAGUGGAAAGUUCACACUGUGGCG
rnacentral:rRNA from 1 species